UAGGGAAUCUUCCACAAUGGACGCAAGUCUGAUGGAGCAACGCCGCGUGAGUGAAGAAGGUCUUCGGAUCGUAAAGCUCUGUUGUAAGAGAAGAACGUGUGUGAGAGUGGAAAGUUCACACAGUGACGGUAACUUACCAGAAAGGGACGGCUAACUACGUGCCCG
rnacentral:rRNA from 1 species